rnacentral:tRNA from 1 species
ACUUUUAGAGUGUAAUCACGUUAUAAUUUCAUUAUAAAAAUAGCUUAAAGCUUAAAAGUA